GGUCAAAGAGCGCGUUGAAGUUCGAGAGCGUGGAGAAGGCCUGGACUCAGGUGGUUUCCGGCACCAAUUACCGGCUGAUCUUGGUCGUCAAGGACGGACCUUCGACCAAGAAAUUUGAAGUUGUCGUUUGGGAGAAGCCAUGGGAGCAUUUCAAGAGUCUCACCUCGUUUAAGCCUAUGCUUGGGGAUGGACUCCGAUAGACCCCACGGAGAAGCACGUGAUGGAGAUCGGGCAGUUCGAGGUGACGGAGUGCAAUAAACGGUCAAAGAGCGCGUUGAAGUUCGAGAGCGUGGAGAAGGCCUGGACUCAGGUGGUUUCCGGCACCAAUUACCGGCUGAUCUUGGUCGUCAAGGACGGACCUUCGACCAAGAAAUUUGAAGCUGUCGUUUGGGAGAAGCCAUGGGAGCAUUUCAAGAGUCUCACCUCGUUUAAGCCUAUGUUUGGGGGAUGGACUCCGAUAGACCCCACGGAGAAGCACGUGAUGGAGAUCGGGCAGCUCGCGGUGACGGAGUACAACAAACGGUCAAAGAGCGCGUUGAAGUUCGAGAGCGUUUAGAAGGCCGAGACUCAAGUGGUUUCCGGCACCAAUUACCGGCUGAUCUUGGUCGUCAAGGACGGACCUUCGACCAAGAAAUUUGUAGCUGUCGUUUGGGAGAAGCCAUGGGAGCAUUUCAAGAGUCUCACCUCGUUUAAGCCUAUGUUUGGGGGAUGGACUCCGAUAGACCCCACGGAGAAGCACGUGAUGGAGAUCGGGCAGUUCGCGGUAACAGAGUACAACAAACGGUCAAAGAGCGCGUUGAAGUUCGAGAGCGUGGAGAAGGCCUGGACUCAGGUCGUUUCCGGCACCAAUUACCGGCUGGUCUUGGUCGUCAAGGACGGACCUUCGACCAAGAAAUUGUUAGCUGUCGUUUGGGAGAAGCCAUGGGAGCAUUUCAAGAGUCUCACCUCGUUUAAGCCUAUGCUUGGGGGAUGGAAUCCGAUAGACCCCACGGAGAAGCACGUGAUGGAGAUCGGGCAGUUCGCUGUGACAGAGUACAACAAACGGUCAAAGAGCGCGUUGAAGUUCGAGAGCGUGGAGACGGCCUGGACUCAGGUGGUUUCCGGCACCAAUUACCGGCUGAUCUUGGUCGUCAAGGACGGACCUUCGACCAAGAAAUUUGUAGCUGUCAUUUGGGAGUAGCCAUGGGAGCAUUUCAAGAGUCUCACCUCGUUUAAGCCUAUGCUUGGGGGAUGGACUCCGAUAGACCCCACGGAGAAGCACGUGAUGGAGAUCGGGCAGUUCGCGGUGACAGAGUACAACAAACGGUCAAAGAGCGCGUUGAAGUUCGAGAGCGUUGAGAAGGCUUGGACUCAGGUGGUUUCCGGCACCAAUUACCGGCUGAUCUUGGUCGUCAAGGACGGACCUUCGACCAAGAAAUUUGAAGCUGUCGUUUGAGAGAUGCCAUGGGAGCAUUUCAAGAGUCUCACCUCGUUUAAGCCUAUGCUUGGGGGAUGGACUCCGAUAGAGCCCACGGAGAAGCACGUGAUGGAGAUCGGGCAGUUCGCGGUGACAGAGUACAAUAAACGGUCAAAGAGCGCGUUGAAGUUCGAGAGCGUUGAGAAGGCUUGGACUCAGGUGGUUUCCGGCACCAAUUACCGGCUGAUCUUGGUCGUCAAGGACGGACCUUCGACCAAGAAAUUUGUAGCUGUCGUUUGGGAGUAGCCAUGGGAGCAUUUCAAGAGUCUCACCUCGUUUAAGCCUAUGCUUGGGGGAUGGACUCCGAUAGACCCCACGGAGAAGCACGUGAUGGAGAUCGGGCAGUUCGCGGUGACGGAGUACAACAAACGGUCAAAGAGCGCGUUGAAGUUCGAGAGCGUGGAGAAGGCCUGGACUCAGGUGCUUUCCGGCACCAAUUACCGGCUGAUCUUGGUCGUCAAGGACGGACCUUCGACCAAGAAAUUUGAAGCUAUCGUUUGGGAGAAGCCAUGGGAGCAUUUCAAGAGUCUCACCUCGUUUAAGCCUAUGGUUAAAUAGGGUGUUUAACAAAUAACAAAUGCAUGUAAUUGUUAAAUAAAGGAUAGGUAUACUAUUACCUAUCAAUCAUGGCAAUGUCUUAGUCUGUUUUAGUUCAACUUAUAAGAUUUCUUGAGAUGUACAAGAGAUCUUUUUGUUUACUUUUGAGCCAAGUAUUUUCCUGAAAAAGGAAAUAAAUCAAUAAAAAUUAUUGUGUGUCAACAUAUUGGUUAUAUUAGUCUAUACACG
rnacentral:lncRNA from 1 species